UUUACUCCAUCUCCCCGUCAUGCUAAGCUUUUUUGCAUUAAAUGGGGGUCAAGUGUUUAUGAAUGCAAAAAUGAAAGUCACCACCAUCCAUUUUAGCAGUAGAAACUGUCUUUUGGCAGAAACACUUACAACAAACAAUUACACACACUAUAGAUAAUAUAGAAUUCACACAUAAACUAAGGAUAGAUUUUUAUUUUUUUAAGGGAAACUAAGGAUAGAUAUAUUAUACACAAUUAAUAUCCAAGAAAUUCGAGAGUCUUGGUCUCUCCCUCCAAGAAUUAGAGAGUUUGGUCUCUCCCACCCAAAACCAUUUAGAAAAAUAUCCCAUCAUCACUUCCUCCUUUUCUAUCUAUAUUUAUUCAAAAAUAGAAAACACAUAACCCAUAACUGCUAUACAUAACUGACACAUAAAAACACAACUGCCCAUAACCGCCAUCAUAAGAAGUCUAACAUCUCGAUGUUUGUCUUGGUGCUUUUAAAGGUGCCAAUCAUACUCACUGACGGGUCUAUAGAUAAAAUGGAUCUGCCGGUGUUGUGGUAAAUGGUGAUGUUGUUGCUCAGGGUUCCUAAUUUUCUUUAAAUGAUGUCGAGUUGUGGUUGCUCAGAUAGCUCUAGUUGUGAGCCUUAGAAGAUCUUUAAGCAACUUCCAAGAGAAAGCUAGCUGUACCAUACAGCCUCUGUCUUCCUUUUGACCUUAAAAUACGCCUUUUUGUUCCACUUAAGGCUAGUUUAUUGUCAUUUUGAGUUACAAUUUUCAGAUCUUGCUCUAUUUUUUUCCCAGCUAAAUUCCGAAUUCUUCUACAAUGAUAUCAUAAUGUAACUGCUGAAAUUAAUCAGGCAUAAGUUGAACAUGAUUAUAUAUUAUGUAGAUAAAAUUUCACUCUCCGGAGGAGGAAAUAGCAUUUGCAUCUGGUUGCUGGUUAUAGGUCUAUUUACUAAGAAGUGGAGCAUAUGCUUUUAUGCUCCCUCUUUCUGAUGGAGUAUACAGUUCAUCUGUUGCUGAAAUUGUUGGGUGUAUGUGCCAGCUGGCUGUGAAAGGUAAACUUGUGACAGUAUUUUAAAGCUACAUUUACAUUAUUGUGCAUACGAUCAUAGGAGUGCUUAUUUAGGGAUAAACAAAUUAUUCAAGUAACCACUAAUCUUGUUUCCGUUUAGUAUCAUUUGUGUAAAGAUCUCAAAAUAGUAGGUUUGAUCUUCCGCUGGUUUCUCUGUAAUGCAAGAUGACCAUAUCAAUUUCAGAAAAUUGAUGAACUCGUACUGUCGUACAUGAGCUGGAUGUCAAAGAUGUUGAAGUCUGCAAAUAUGUUCCAGAGAUAUAUACAUUCCAUCUUUUUAUAGCACUCUUUAUGUGAAUGAUGAAAUUCAUUCAACCUUUCA